CCAGAGCAGCACAUUUCGGUUAUCUGUUGGUCAGUCAAGCUGCAAAGCUACUAAAGAUGGAAGUAUACGAAUGACAUUGUUAGAUGAGAGGCCAGCGCCUGGCAGAUAUAUGAUUGAGCGCUCUGGUGUAUUGGCUUAUGAUCUUGUUCAAGGAGAACUUGUAAAGUGGAGCUCUGCAAUGGACAAGUCAAUGCCAGAUCCGCCAACAGCUGUGCUUCUGCAUGGCAUUCUAGGUAGCCGAAAAAAUUGGGGAACAUUUACUCAGAGAUUAGCGCAGGAAUUUCCAAUGUGGCAGUUUCUUUUAGUAGACCUGCGAUGCCAUGGUGAUUCAGCAUCAAUGAAGAAGAGGGGA
rnacentral:misc_RNA from 1 species